GCCACUUUACAUAAACACAGAAGGUCAGAGGUAAAGGAAGUCUGAACUAUCAGUUUGUGAACGUGAUUUCCUCAGUGCCACGUUUAAUGCAUAUUAAUCGGCUUUUCAAUCCAAGAAUCCAUGACAAUCUAAGCGACGAGCUCUGCACCUCUUCAUUCUCACUUCGCUGAAACGCUUCACCAAAAAUCUCAGUGCCGCCGCUACGUCCUCCUACUCCAGAAGAGAGAAGUGAAAGAUUACUGCGUGGGGCUCAUUAAGAAUGUUUUAUUUUGUCUGCAAUUUUUUUCCCCUCAUCUAUUGUCUCUCCACCCUCUCAGCGAAAGUCUCGACGGAGUCACAGCCUUGGGUGCAUCGGAGCGAUGAGACAAAUGCAGAAAAUGAACUGGAAGAAAACAGGGAGGCGAAAAAAAUGCGCGGCUGGACGACGAUGGCCGAAAACUCAAAGGAGAAAUGGUUACACUGCAUCGCCAGCUUGCCUCAUCUAAAUCCCUGACUCCUGACCUCCCCUGAGGAAGGUGCUCACUGUCAGAAGAACCCCCGGCAUCCUACCGCCACAGAAAGGUGAUUCCUUUAAAGCACCAGAAACGGAUGAAGGAGCGAGAGGGGGCUGCGCGAGGCAGGCAGACGGGGAGGGGAGCUGUCGUUUGUGUCAGGUUAACCUCAGAGACACAUCCGGAGCUCAGCAUCUGGGAGACGGAGGGGAGAGAGAGAGAGGCACCGCCGCUCCAUUUGGCGCAAUUUCACCACGGCAGCAACAGAUAGCAACAAAAGUCCCGUUGAGGUCUUUAAGGUAACCAAUUAUAAUGUUUUGAAAUUAUAUUUCUUAAUAUAUAUUUUAAAAUGUAUUAUAUGCACGUUUCUUUUAUUAAAAAGGUCCUGUACCAUUUAAAUAGCCUUCUGUGUAAGAGAAAAAUAAAAGCAUUUUUUGCAUUACUUGUUGACUGUGUGGACAUACGCAUAUGUCUCUUUCUCUUUUAAUAACAAGACUUAAAUGCAUUAGAUUUAUUUUGCGGUGUUUUUACCCUUGAUCACAAACCUCGUGAUUUGUGUGGAAAUGCAACGAAUCUCCCAGGUUUAGAAAAAAGGGUAAAUGAUUACAUAAAAAAAGAGGAAAAAAAAUAACAGAUGGGCCUGCCUAAAAAAAUAUGAUUUUCUACAAAUGAUUGCAUUCUCUCCCCUUUGGUGUGAAAAGUAGACUCAAGAACACUUUUAAAUAAUUUGUUCAAUUUGUUCCACAGCCAAAGAAAAGCGGCUUGGUGGAAAUUCAGAUUCAUUAAAACUUAAUUAAUAUGCAUCAUUAUGUAAAUGAGGUUGCAGUUAAUGAGUUCUUAAAAGAAGCCUUCCUUAAUUAGUUCACUUUUUAAUGGCAUCAUCAUUUAUCUUUUUUCUUUGAAGCAGAAUGACGAGAGGACCUCGCCGUUCCCGAAAGUGCUAAAAUUUUCCAUUUUUUAAUUAUUCUUAUUUUCUUAAUUUUUAUAUGAUUAAGAAUGCAUUUAGGGAAGUAAAUAAAUGAGAAAAACUUAGACCUUUUUUUCCAGACUCACUUAUUGCCAUUAAAACAGAGUCUCUGUAGAUACCGGAGUGUUUAAAAAGUUAAAGGGAAAGCAUCUUCUUACAAAACAAUCAAGGCUGUCUCACAAUUACCUCCUUGGCUUCUGCGAGUAGCUUCAUUUCUACUAAAUCUGAGCAGCCUCUUAAUUGCUCUCUCCAGUUGGGCUGCAGUAUAUAUUACCACACUCCAUUACUAUUUAUGGAGCCUGAGAUUCAUAUUGCAAAUAUGAAGAUGACUGUGGUCAUUUCCUUCUGUAUUCAUUCUCUCAUUUAUUCAUUUACAUAUUCAAUCACUCGAUUUUUUCCCUUUUAAUUAAUUAAUUAAUUUACUUACUUGGUAAACAAUUUACC